UCGGUCAAACGCUGCUGAGCCCUGCUGACUUCAAACACAGGAUGCUAAAAAUGAAAUAGAGGGGAGGGGCGGGGUGAGCCCCGCAGCCUGCCAUGCACUGUGGGCUUGCAGCCUCGGGGAAGUAACUAUCCGGGUAGUAACUACACAGAUACACGGCGUGGAAUACCGAAGACUUUCCAUUUGUUCUUUAGCUGCCUCUGUGAUGUUGGAGUGCUGGGCGUAGGCAUGAAGGGCCCUAGGAUAAGUACCCAGAUGCACCCUUUCGAUUCCUCUGGUGAGCCAGCCCUGCUCCAGAGAGGACCCCUUCUUCCCCAAACACACACAGCCUGCCGAGAGCAUGGAACCAAGAGUGGCUGGGAAAGAUCUGGGAAACCAUUGCUUCAAG